rnacentral:lncRNA from 1 species
AGGCGGGCGGGGCCGGGCCAGGCCGCGGCCUCGGGGACGGCUUCUCCCGCGCGCUGCUCACAGCGCGGGGUUUCCCCACAACAACCCCCGCCCCUGGGAAGCUGCGCUGUCGGGCGCCCUCAGUCCCUGGGCUCGGCCCUCUCCUGGGCCUGGCAUCCGCAUCGCGCCGCUCCCAGUUUUUCCACGUGCGGUGCCGUAACUCGUGUAACGUGAGCUGGAUAAAGAGCACAAUGUGGUUUUAAAGUUUGCCUGCAAUGGGGAGGAUGGAAGCAGCAGGAAGAGUCACAGUGGAAGGUCUAGAAGAUCACCUGUUCUUACCUGAGAAGAUCUCUGGAAGUUUCUGGAGUGACUUGUUGUGGGCUAAUCUCUUUCUGUCUGAACAACAAGGGAUCCAGUUAAAAAAUAUUAGCAGAUUCUUUUCAAUCCAGCAGAAGUUAUGAGGAGGGAAUUUCUGUUCACUUUGCUGGAGACAGAGAAUUACUGGAGUAAGAAAAAUGAAGUUGACAUACUGCGAUGCAUUAACAUGUAUGGAUUUCUGUGAUUAAAUAAAAUGAAAAAUUAAAGAGCC